rnacentral:rRNA from 1 species
CCUACGAGAGGCAGCAGUCGAGAAUCAUUCACAAUGGGGGAAACCCUGAUGGUGCGACGCCGCGUGGGGGAAUGAAGGUCUUCGGAUUGUAAACCCCUGUCAUGUGGGAGCAAAUUAAAAAGAUAGUACCACAAGAGGAAGAGACGGCUAACUCUGUGCCAGCAGCCGCGGUAAUACAGAGGUCUCAAGCGUUGUUCGGAAUCACUGGGCGUAAAGCGUGCGUAGGCUGUUUCGUAAGUCGUGUGUGAAAGGCGCGGGCUCAACCCGCGGACGGCACAUGAUACUGCGAGACUAGAGUAAUGGAGGGGGAACCGGAAUUCUCGGUGUAGCAGUGAAAUGCGUAGAUAUCGAGAGGAACACUCGUGGCGAAGGCGGGUUCCUGGACAUUAACUGACGCUGAGGCACGAAGGCCAGGGGAGCGAAAGAGAUUAGAUACCCUAGUAGUC